UCCAGACAGAAGACCAGGACUGGACUUCACUUGUUUCCUAAUCAAGGAAGACAGAAGCUCUGUCUCACAUUUCUCGCUCAGGCAAAACUGCAGAUCACACAUGUGGGAGAUAGGUUGCACUUUGAGCCCAUCCUUGUGUGUUUUUGCAAUGUCACGGAAGUUCAGCCUUAGCUCAGCCGCUGCCAGCAAUCCAUGCACAGGUGGGAAGCAGGAAGCCACAGGGUGACUGAGACCUGGACCCCCUCCCUGCAGCAUGUGUGAGGUUU